rnacentral:lncRNA from 1 species
GGUGUUUGACCAAACUACUGGGCACCAUACCCCAGCCAAGUCAGCAUAUAAUGUGAACCAUCACAGUGGGAGACAUGUCACAAAGUGGUAAGACAGCAAGAAUUGGUGGUCUGGGCUGGAUUCCAGAGAACCUGGACUGUGCCUAUGAAGCACCACUGCCCUGUAGACCUGGGAUAAUAAACACUGAUGCCUAAAGGGACCAGGCAGUGAUACAAUUUCUUCUUGGGAUUUUCACAAAUGGCAUCAUUGUGGUGGUGAAUGGCAUUGACUUGAUCAAGCACAGAAAAAUGGCUCCGCUGGAUCUCCUUCUUUCUUGUCUGGCAGUUUCUAGAAUUUUUCUGCAGUUGUUCAUCUUCUACGUUAAUGUGAUUGUUAUCUUCUUCAUAGAAUUCAUCAUGUGUUCUGCGAAUUGUGCAAUUCUCUUAUUUAUAAAUGAAUUGGAACUUUGGCUUGCCACAUGGCUCGGCGUUUUCUAUUGUGCCAAGGUUGCCAGCGUCCGUCACCCACUCUUCAUCUGGUUGAAGAUGAGGAUAUCCAAGCUGGUCCCAUGGAUGAUCCUGGGGUCUCUGCUAUAUGUAUCUAUGAUUUGUGUUUUCCAUAGCAAAUAUGCAGGGUUUAUGGUCCCAUACUUCCUAAGGAAAUUUUUCUCCCAAAAUGCCACAAUUCAAAAAGAAGAUACACUGGCUAUACAGAUUUUCUCUUUUGUUGCUGAGUUCUCAGUGCCAUUGCUUAUCUUCCUUUUUGCUGUUUUGCU